rnacentral:misc_RNA from 1 species
GAUGAAGAACGCAGCGAAAUGCGAUAAGUAAUGUGAAUUGCAGAAUUCAGUGAAUCAUCGAAUCUUUGAACGCACCUUGCGCCCUUUGGCUAUUCCGAAGGGCAUGCCUGUUUGAGUAUCAUGAACACCUCAACUCUCAUGGUUUGCCAUGAUGAGCUUGGACUUUGGGGGUCUUGCCGGCCUAUGGGUCGGCUCCUCUCAAAUUAAUCAGCUUGCCAGUGUUUGGUGGCAUCACAGGUGUGAUAACUAUCUACGCUUGUGGUUUUCCAUCAGGUAACCUUCAGUGAUGGAGGUUCGCUGGGGCUCAUAAAUGUCUCUCCUCAGUGAGGACAGCUUUUUUGAACGUUUGAUCUCAAAACAGGUAGGACUACCCGCUGAACUUAAGCAUAUCAAUAAGCGGAGGA